rnacentral:lncRNA from 1 species
AUGUCCAAUGGGAAUGUUGCUUUGGCUGGGGUUGGGAAUGGGGUCGCUCUGUGUCCCUCACAUGUCCAGGGCUUCUGGGAUAUCCCUGUGCUGACCAUGGAACCAGGAGUUGUAUUUGGAGAAUUCUGUGGGAAUUACGGAAUGCUGGAAUGCUUGGGUGGGAUCCUAAAGCUGAUCCAAUUCCAUCCCAGUCCAAAAGCAGGGAAACUUCCCCGAUCCCAGGCUGCUCCGGCCUUUCCUUGGCCACUGCCAGGGAUUCAGGGGCAGCCCCAGCUGCUCUGGGCACCCUGGGCCAGGGCCUGCCCACCCUCCCAGCCAGCAAUUCCCAAUUCCCAAUCUCCCAUCCAGCCUUGCCCUCUGGCACUGGGAAGCCAUUCCCUGGCUCCUGGCCCUCCAUGCCUUGGCCCCAGUCCCUCUGCAGCUCUCCUGGAGCCCCUUCAGGCCCUGCAAGGGGCUCUCAGCUCUCCCUGGAGCUUCUCCUCUCCAGGGGAACAUUCCCAGCUCUCCCAGCCUGGCUCCAGAGGGGCUCCAACCCUCGGAGCAGCUCCGGGGCCUCCUCUGGAAUUGUUCCAACAAUUCCAAGUCCUUUUCCUGUUGGAUCCCAGGGCUGGGGCAGCUCUGCAGGUGGGGUCUCAGAGCAAAUAUUCCAGAGGAAAAUUCCCCGGGGAUAAAUGGAUGAUGGGAUUGGAAACAGCCUCAGGCAAAUUCGGCGCCGCCACCUCCGGGUGCUCCGGGCUGGGAAUUUCCCAUGGGAAGGAAUGGGAAGGGGAAAGGUUUGGAAUGGGAUCGGGGAUGGGGAAAGGUUUGGAAUGGGAUUGGGGAUGGGGAAAGGUUUGGAAUGGGAUCAGGAAAGAGGGAAAGGUUUGGAAUGGGAUCAGGGAUGGGGAAAGGUUUGGAAUGGGAUCGGGAAUGAGGGAAAGGUUUGGAAUGGGAUCGGGGAUGGGGAAAGGUUUGGAAUGGGAUCGGGGAAGGGGAAAGGUUUGGAAUGGGAUCGGGAAUGAGGGAAAGGUUUGGAAUGGGAUCGGGGAUGGGGAAAGGUUUGGAAUGGGAUCGGGAAUGAGGGAAAGGUUUGGAAUGGGAUUGGGGAUGAGGAAAGGUUUGGAAUGGGAUCAGGAAAGAGGGAAAGGUUUGGAAUGGGAUCAGGGAUGGGGAAAGGUUUGGAAUGGGAUCAGGAAUGAGGGAAAGGUUUGGAAUGGGAUCAGGAAAGAGGGAAAGGUUUGGAAUGGGAUCAGGGAUGAGGGCAAGUGCCUUGCAGAUGGAUUUGGGAGAGCGGGAUCGUUACCUUAGAAAUGACAGGAGCAGCCGGAAAUCUGGGAAGAAUAUUAAAAAUAGGGAAUGGCGGGAAUGGGAAACCUCCACCUGUUCCCUGGCACCGGGAGGAAGGAAAUUCCUGGGAAUUCCCACACGAAACCAGGCGAACACAGAGGGAAUAGCUCGGGAAUUCGGGAUGUGCUGGAGGCUGAUCCAGACUGGGAUACGGAGCCUUUGGGAGGUCAAAAAUAUCCAGAAAGUCUUGGAAAUAUUCCCAAAAUUACCUGGAGCCCAACUCCUUGCCCAAACUUCCCAAGGAUUCCCGGAGCUGGCUCCAUUAUUCCCAACCUUUUGCAGGGAAAAGAUCCCUGGGAAAGAGAGUUUGGCUCCAUUAUUUCCAUGUCCUCCUGUGGUUUUCCAGGGAUAGAAGGAUCCUGGAAUUGUGGAAUUUCCAGGAAAAAUUCCCAGGUUUGCAGCCUGAGGGUUUAGAAUGGUUCAAGUUGGAAAAAAACCUUGGAAGUUUUCCUUCCCAACAAAACCGCCUUCGCUCCAUGGCAUGGGAUAUCCAUAAAUACCCGGAGUCCUCUCACAUUUUCCUGGAAAAAUCCCAGAGAAAAAAUGGAUUCUGGGACAGGUUUUCCAGGGAAUAUCAGGAAUAUUUCGUGUUGUCCCAAUUUUUGAUUCCGAGGGUGGAAACUCCCAGGAAAAUUGGGAUUGCUUUCCAAAAACAGCUCCCUCUGGAGUUUUCCAGCCCUUUCCUAGCUCUCUCCAGGGAUUUCCAGCCCUCCGGAAUUUUCCAGCCCCUUCCCGGCUCCCCCAGGAGUUUUCCAGCCCCUUCCCAGCUCCACUCCCUUCCCUGGCCCCACUCCAGCCCUUCCAGGGCUUUCCAGAGCUGCUCGCAGAAUUCCAGGGGACCCCUCAGCCGUGCCCGGGAGCAGCAGGGUUGGGACAGCAGAACUUUUCCAGGCGUUUUCCAGGUUUUCCUUGGAUCCCUCCUCCCUCUGUGCCGGCUGUGACUGUGACUCACUCCCCACGUGCCGGAGCCUCCGCGCUUUUCCCAAUCCCACUCCAACACCACGAGUUGCCCGAUCCAAUUCCUUGUGCUGGGAUGAUCCCUCCGGAGAUUUCAUUCCCGAAACUCAUCCCGAUCCAUCGCAGCCCCAUUCCCGGUUUUUGGAGGCCUGGCAGCCCCUGUGUGGCUUUGGGAAGUUGGGCAGGAGCUGGGAUCCAUCCUGGGUUUCCUGAAGGAAGGGAUGGCCCUGCUCAGCUCCCGGUGCAUCCCGGAUAUUCCCGCUUUGGGAAGGGAGGCUUUGGAGCAGGGAAUCAUCCCCUGGAUUUGGGGAAGAGCCGAUCCAAGGCUGAGAUUCCCGGGAGCAGCUCCUUUUCCCACCCAUCCAUGACAAUUCCCUCGGAUCCCACAUCUCUUCCAGCCGGGCUUUGUUUGCUCCAGGUUUUUUUUUUUAUCCCAAGGAAUUCCGUGUCUGAAUUCCAGCUUUUCUCAUUCCCAUUUCCCAUUUGCCCUGGACACACAACCGGAGCUUCCAAGAAAAUCCUUGGAGCGCUUUAAUCCCUCCUUAACAUUCCGGCUGUGGCCCAAAAUCCUUCCUGAAUUCCCACUGCUGGUUUCCAGGUGGGAUCUUCCCUCCCCAUCCGAAAUGUCCCUGUUUAUCCCAACUUCCAGCCCUUUGGAAUUUCCACAUCCGUAGGGAAGUUUGCCCUCUUUGCCAUCAGCCAAAGGAGCGCCAGGAAUUCCCAGCAAUUCCUGGGGUUUUUUUCCUGCUGCUGUCGGAUUUAGGGAAUGAGAUAAAUAGUGGGAAUUCCCUCCGUGGGCGUUUCCAGGUGGGAUCCGCAGGUUUGGAUUUGUGCAGGAACAAUUCCAGGUUUCCAGGUGGUGUUUGGAGUCAAAUCCCAUCUCUGGCAGUGUCCAAGGCCGGGCUGGAGGGGGCUUGGAGCAACCUGGGGUAGGGAAAGUUGUCCAUGGAGAAUAUCCUGGGAAUGUUGGGGAAAAAUCCUGGGAAUGUUGGGGAAAAAUCCGGGGAAUGUUGGGGAAAAAUCCUGGGAAUGCUGGGAAAAAAAUCCUGGGAAUUUUGAGAGAACAAUCCUGGGAAUGUUGGGGAAAAAAUCCGGGGAAUGUUGGGGAAAAAAUCCAGGGAAUGUUGGGAGAACAAUCCUGGGAAUGUUGGGGAAAAAAUCCUGGAACCGGUGGGCAAAUGGUCCUGGAAGUUCUGAGCAAAGGAUCCUGGGAAUGUUGGGGAAUAAUCCUGAGAACGUUGGGAGAAUAAUCCUGGGAAUGUGGGGGGAAAAAUCCGGGAAAUGUUGGGAAAAAAAUCCUGGGAAUUUUGGGAGAACAAUCCUGGGAAUGUUGGGGAAAAAAUCCUGGAACCGUUGGGCAAAUGGUCCUGGAAGUUCUGAGCAAAGGAUCCUGGGAAUGUUGGGGAAGCCCCGGGGCUGAAGUCGGAUCCCAGCUGGAGAUCAGCCCGCGGCCACCGGCAGCUCUGGGUGGCUCCUGGUGCCACCACCCCGAUGCCACCACCCCGAUGCCACCUUGACACCACCACUCUGAUGCCACCACCUUGAUGCCACCUCAUCGAUGCCACCACCCUGAUGUCACCUCCCCAGUGCCACCACCCAGAUGCCACCUCCCUGACACCACUGGCCUGAUGCCACCUCCCUGAUGCCACUUCACUGAUGCCACCUCCUCAGUGCCACCUCCUCAAUGCCACCAUCCUGAUGCCACCACUCGCCACCACCCCGAUGCCACCACCCCGAUGCCACCACUCUGAUGCCACCGCCCUGAUGCCACCACCCUGAUGCCACCUCCCCGAUGCCAUCUCCCAGAUGCCACCUCCCUGACACCACUGGUCUGAUGCCACCUCCCUGAUGCCACCACCUCGAUGCCACCUCCUCGAUGGCACCGCCCUGACGCCACCACCGUGACACCACCACUGUGACGCCACCUCCCCGAUGCCACCUCCUCAAUGCCACCUCCCCGAUGCCACCACUCUGAUGCCACCACCAUGACACCACCUCCUCAAUGUCACCUCCCUGAUGCCACCGCCCUGACGUCACCACUGUGAUGCCACCUCCUCAAUGCCACCUCCCCGAUGCCACCACUCCAAUGCCACUGCCCUGAUGCCACCACUCUGAUGCCACCACUCUGAUGCCACUGCCUUGAUGCCACCACUCCGAUGCCACCACUCUGAUGCCACCUCCCUGAUGUCACCGCCCUGACGUCACCACUGUGAUGCCACCUCCCCGAUGCCACCACGGCCACCGGGGCUGUGUCACUGCCCGGCUCCGGUGGCACAUUUUGGGCCGCGUUCCCAGGCUGGCUCCAUCCCGGGAUUCCCACGUGCUGCGUUUUUUUGGGAAUGCGGAUGCGGAAUAACCGGGAAUCAACGGCGCUUCCCACACAAACGUCCCUGGGUUCGGCAUGGGCCACAUCCGUCCUUCCCAGGGAAUGGAAUUGGGAAUUCCGCCGAAUUCCAAGGAAAUCGGACUUGGGAAUGGUUUUGCUCCUGGGAUUCUCUGCGUCCUGCGGCUCUGAGGGCUCCUUCCCGAGUGGAUCCCGCCGGGAAGAUCCAGCACGGUGGGAUCAUGUCCUGGGAAAGAGGGGGCAGAAAUCCUGGGAAAAAGGAUCAGAAAUGCUGGAAAAUGAGUCCAAAAUCCUGGGAAAGAGGGGGAAGAAAUGCUGGAAAAUGAGUCCAAAAUCCCGGGAAACAGGGUCAGAAAUUCUGGAAAAAAAGAUCAGAAAUCCUGGAAAGAGGCAUCAGGAAUCCUGAAAAAGAUGGGUCAGAAAUGCUGGGAAAUGGGGCUGAAAUCCUGGGAAAGGAGUCCAAAAUCCUGGGAAAGGAGUCAAAAGUCCUGGGAAAGAGGGAUCAGAAAUCUGGGAAAGAAGGGUCAGGAAUGCUGGGGAGUGGGGCUGAAAUCCUGGGAAAGAGGGGUCAGGAAUGCUGGAAAAAAGGAUCAGAAAUCCGGG